rnacentral:rRNA from 1 species
GCAAUGGACGAAAGUCUUGACCGAGCAACGCCGCGUGAGUGAAGAAGGUUUUCGGAUCGUAAAGCUCUGUUGUAAGUCAAGAACGUGUGUGAGAGUGGAAGGUUCACACAGUGACGGUAGCUUACCAGAAAGGGACGGCUAACUACGUGCCAGCAGCCGCGGUAAUACGUAGGUCCCGAGCGUUGUCCGGAUUUAUUGGGCGUAAAGGGAGCGCAGGCGGUCAGGAAAGUCUGGAGUAAAAGGCUAUGGCUCAACCAUAGUGUGCUCUGGAAACUGUCUGACUUGAGUGCAGAAGGGGAGAGUGGAAUUCCAUGUGUAGCGGUGAAAUGCGUAGAUAUAUGGAGGAACACCAGUGGCGAAAGCGGCUCUCUGGUCUGUCACUGACGCUGAGGCUCGAAAGCGUGGGUAGCGAACAGGAUUAGAUACCCUGGUAGUCCACGCCGUAAACGAUGAGUGCUAGGUGUUAAGGCCCUUUCCGGGGCUU